GAUGUAGGGAUUUAACCUGGUUGUGUAGGAUGUAAGGAUUUAACCAGGUUGUGUAGGAUGUAGGGAUUUAACCAGGUUGUGUAGGAUGUAGGGAUUUAACCAGGUUGUGUAGGAUGUAGGGAUUUAACCAGGUUGUGUAGGAUGUAAGGAGUUAACCAGGUUGUGUAGGAUGUAAGGAGUUAACCAGGUUGUGUAGGAUGUAGGGAUUUAACCAGGUUGUGUAGGAUGUAGGGAUUUAACCUGGUUGUGUAGGAUGUAAGGAUUUAACCAGGUUGUGUAGGACGUAGGGAUUUAACCAGGUUGUGUAGGAUGUAAGUAUUUAACCUGGUUGUGUAGGAUGUAAGGAUUUAACCAGGUUGUGUAGGAUGUAGGAAUUUAACCAGGUUGUGUAGGAUGUAAGGAUUUAACCAGGUUGUGUAGGAUGUAGGGAUUUAACCAGGUUGUGUAGGAUGUAGGGAUUUAACCAGGUUGUGUAGGAUGUAGGGAUUUAACCAGGUUGUGUAGGAUGUAAGGAUUUAACCAGGUUGUGUAGGAUGUAAGGAUUUAACCAGAUUGUGUAGGAUGUAGCUUCAGCUGUAUUUAUUGAAAGUGUGAAGUGAAAAAAAUAGGUUUACUCACUUACUGAGUCAAAUUUAAUAAUGUUUUUAAAAAAAAAAACCAGGGUAGCUCCUAAUAAGGAAAACAAGAUGGCUGACAUGACCAUCAAAUUAAUUUAGGUUGCUACUGAUAAAUAAACAAAACUCGGAAUAAUGUGAAAUUCAUAAUAUCAAAAAGCCAAGGCAUUUGAAAC